GAUGAACGCUGGCGGCGUGCCUAAUACAUGCAAGUCGAGCGAACAGAUAAGGAGCUUGCUCCUUUGACGUUAGCGGCGGACGGGUGAGUAACACGUGGGUAACCUACCUAUAAGACUGGGAUAACUUCGGGAAACCGGAGCUAAUACCGGAUAAUAUUUCGAACCGCAUGGUUCGAUAGUGGAAGAUGGUUUUGCUAUCACUUAUAGAUGGACCCGCGCCGUAUUAGCUAGUUGGUAAGGUAACGGCUUACCAAGGCGACGAUACGUAGCCGACCUGAGAGGGUGAUCGGGCACACUGGAACUGAGACACGGUCCAGACUCCGAGGGGAGGCAGCAGUAGGGAAUCUUCCGCAAUGGGCGAAAGCCUGACGGAGCAACGCCGCGUGAGUGAUGAAGGUCUUCGGAUCGUAAAACUCUGUUAUUAGGGAAGAACAUACGUGUAAGUAACUGUGCACGUCUUGACGGUACCUAAUCAGAAAGCCACGGCUAACUACGUG
rnacentral:rRNA from 1 species